rnacentral:rRNA from 1 species
UACGGGAAGGCAGCAGGUGGGGAAUAUUGCACAAUGGGCGAAAGCCUGAUGCAGCUAUGCCGCGUGUAUGAAGAAGGCCUUAGGGUUGUAAAGUACUUUCAUCGGGGAGGAAAAAACAAAACUAAUAAUUUUAUUUCUUGACGUUACCCGAAAAAGAAGCACCGGCUAACUCCGUGCCAGCAGCCGCGGUAAUACGGAGGGUGCUAGCGUUAAUCAGAAUUACUGGGCGUAAAGAGCACGUAGGUGGUUUUUUUAAAGUCAGAUGUGAAAUCCCUUGGGCUUAACCUGGAAACUGCAUUUUGAAACUGAAAUACUAGAGUAUCGUAGAGGGAGGUAGAAUUCUAGGUGUAGCGGUGAAAUGCGUAGAUAUCUGGAGGAAUACCUGUGGCGAAAGCGGCCUCCUAAACCGGAAUACUGACACUGAGGUGCGAAAGCUGGGGAGCAACAGGGAUUAGAUACC